GACGAACGCUGGCGGCGUGCCUAAUACAUGCAAGUCGAGCGAAUCUCAGGGAGCUUGCUCCCAAAGGUUAGCGGCGGACGGGUGAGUAACACGUGGGCAACCUGCCUAUAAGACUGGGAUAACUUCGGGAAACCGGAGCUAAUACCGGAUAAUACUUUUCUACUCAUGUAGGGAAGCUGAAAGACGGUUUCGGCUGUCACUUAUAGAUGGGCCCGCGGCGCAUUAGCUAGUUGGUGAGGUAACGGCUCACCAAGGCGACGAUGAGUAGCCGACCUGAGAGGGUGAUCGGCCACACUAGGACUGAGACACGGCCCAGACUCCUACGGGAGGCAGCAGUAGGGAAUCUUCCGCAAUGGACGAAAGUCUGACGGAGCAACGCCGCGUGAGUGAUGAAGGUUUUCGGAUCGUAAAACUCUGUUGUUAGGGAAGAACAAGUACCAGAGUAACUGCUGGUACCUUGACGGUACCUAACCAGAAAGCCACGGCUAACUACGUGCCAGCCGCCGCAGUAA
rnacentral:rRNA from 1 species